rnacentral:SRP_RNA from 1 species
UCGUGCUAGAUGGGGAGAUAGCGGUGCCCUGUAACCUGCAAUCCGCUGUAGCAGGGUUGAAUUCCCAGUUGAGGCCUUAACUUGUGAGGUCUGACCAUUAGAAGUGGUGUUGAGAGUCGGGUCCCACGCAACGAAAAUUUGUGAACUCCGUCAGAUCCGGAAGGAAGCAGCGGUAAGCAAAAACUUUCGUGUGCCGUGGAAAAAUCUGACUUGAGCCACCUAUAAUGGUAACGCUCAUAAGUUAAUGUCGACGCUGGGUGCACGG